rnacentral:rRNA from 1 species
CAAGGCGACGAUCCCUAGCUGGUCUGAGAGGAUGACCAGCCACACUGGAACUGAGACACGGUCCAGACUCCUACGGGAGGCAGCAGUGGGGAAUAUUGCACAAUGGGCGCAAGCCUGAUGCAGCCAUGCCGCGUGUAUGAAGAAGGCCUUCGGGUUGUAAAGUACUUUCAGCGGGGAGGAAGGUGUUGUGGUUAAUAACCGCAGCAAUUGACGUUACCCGCAGAAGAAGCACCGGCUAACUCCGUGCCAGCAGCCGCGGUAAUACGGAGGGUGCAAGCGUUAAUCGGAAUUACUGGGCGUAAAGCGCACGCAGGCGGUCUGUCAAGUCGGAUGUGAAAUCCCCGGGCUCAACCUGGGAACUGCAUUCGAAACUGGCAGGCUUGAGUCUUGUAGAGGGGGGUAGAAUUCCAGGUGUAGCGGUGAAAUGCGUAGAGAUCUGGAGGAAUACCGGUGGCGAAGGCGGCCCCCUGGACAAAGACUGACGCUCAGGUGCGAAAGCGUGGGGAGCAAACAGGAUUA